GUUAAGCGACUAAGCGUACACGGUGGAUGCCCUGGCAGUCAGAGGCGAUGAAGGACGUGCUAAUCUGCGAUAAGCGUCGGUAAGGUGAUAUGAACCGUUAUAACCGGCGAUUUCCGAAUGGGGAAACCCAGUGUGUUUCGACACACUAUCAUUAACUGAAUCCAUAGGUUAAUGAGGCGAACCGGGGGAACUGAAACAUCUAAGUACCCCGAGGAAAAGAAAUCAACCGAGAUUCCCCCAGUAGCGGCGAGCGAACGGGGAGCAGCCCAGAGCCUGAAUCAGUGUGUGUGUUAGUGGAAGCGUCUGGAAAGGCGCGCGAUACAGGGUGACAGCCCCGUACACAAAAAUGCACAUGCUGUGAGCUCGAUGAGUAGGGCGGGACACGUGGUAUCCUGUCUGAAUAUGGGGGGACCAUCCUCCAAGGCUAAAUACUCCUGACUGACCGAUAGUGAACCAGUACCGUGAGGGAAAGGCGAAAAGAACCCCGGCGAGGGGAGUGAAAAAGAACCUGAAACCGUGUACGUACAAGCAGUGGGAGCACGCUUAGGCGUGUGACUGCGUACCUUUUGUAUAAUGGGUCAGCGACUUAUAUUCUGUAGCAAGGUUAACCGAAUAGGGGAGCCGAAGGGAAACCGAGUCUUAACUGGGCGUUAAGUUGCAGGGUAUAGACCCGAAACCCGGUGAUCUAGCCAUGGGCAGGUUGAAGGUUGGGUAACACUAACUGGAGGACCGAACCGACUAAUGUUGAAAAAUUAGCGGAUGACUUGUGGCUGGGGGUGAAAGGCCAAUCAAACCGGGAGAUAGCUGGUUCUCCCCGAAAGCUAUUUAGGUAGCGCCUCGUGAACUCAUCUCCGGGGGUAGAGCACUGUUUCGGCAAGGGGGUCAUCCCGACUUACCAACCCGAUGCAAACUGCGAAUACCGGAGAAUGUUAUCACGGGAGACACACGGCGGGUGCUAACGUCCGUCGUGAAGAGGGAAACAACCCAGACCGCCAGCUAAGGUCCCAAAGUCAUGGUUAAGUGGGAAACGAUGUGGGAAGGCCCAGACAGCCAGGAUGUUGGCUUAGAAGCAGCCAUCAUUUAAAGAAAGCGUAAUAGCUCACUGGUCGAGUCGGCCUGCGCGGAAGAUGUAACGGGGCUAAACCAUGCACCGAAGCUGCGGCAGCGACACUAUGUGUUGUUGGGUAGGGGAGCGUUCUGUAAGCCUGUGAAGGUGUACUGUGAGGUAUGCUGGAGGUAUCAGAAGUGCGAAUGCUGACAUAAGUAACGAUAAAGCGGGUGAAAAGCCCGCUCGCCGGAAGACCAAGGGUUCCUGUCCAACGUUAAUCGGGGCAGGGUGAGUCGACCCCUAAGGCGAGGCCGAAAGGCGUAGUCGAUGGGAAACAGGUUAAUAUUCCUGUACUUGGUGUUACUGCGAAGGGGGGACGGAGAAGGCUAUGUUGGCCGGGCGACGGUUGUCCCGGUUUAAGCGUGUAGGCUGGUUUUCCAGGCAAAUCCGGAAAAUCAAGGCUGAGGCGUGAUGACGAGGCACUACGGUGCUGAAGCAACAAAUGCCCUGCUUCCAGGAAAAGCCUCUAAGCAUCAGGUAACAUCAAAUCGUACCCCAAACCGACACAGGUGGUCAGGUAGAGAAUACCAAGGCGCUUGAGAGAACUCGGGUGAAGGAACUAGGCAAAAUGGUGCCGUAACUUCGGGAGAAGGCACGCUGAUAUGUAGGUGAAGUCCCUCGCGGAUGGAGCUGAAAUCAGUCGAAGAUACCAGCUGGCUGCAACUGUUUAUUAAAAACACAGCACUGUGCAAACACGAAAGUGGACGUAUACGGUGUGACGCCUGCCCGGUGCCGGAAGGUUAAUUGAUGGGGUUAGCGCAAGCGAAGCUCUUGAUCGAAGCCCCGGUAAACGGCGGCCGUAACUAUAACGGUCCUAAGGUAGCGAAAUUCCUUGUCGGGUAAGUUCCGACCUGCACGAAUGGCGUAAUGAUGGCCAGGCUGUCUCCACCCGAGACUCAGUGAAAUUGAACUCGCUGUGAAGAUGCAGUGUACCCGCGGCAAGACGGAAAGACCCCGUGAACCUUUACUAUAGCUUGACACUGAACAUUGAGCCUUGAUGUGUAGGAUAGGUGGGAGGCUUUGAAGUGUGGACGCCAGUCUGCAUGGAGCCGACCUUGAAAUACCACCCUU
rnacentral:rRNA from 1 species